UCACCAAUGCUAUCAUGUGUAGCUGACUUGACAAAGAUACUGGUUAUACAAAUGUUGAUCAAAGUGUUUACUUGCACUGUGGAGUUGGUCCUGUCUAACAUGUAGAAAUCUUUCUCUUGGCUUCAGGUUGGAGGUCUCAGGGAGAUUAUGUUGGAUGGCCAGGCAGGUUUCUUAUAAUAAUGGAGGAGAACUGUAUAUCUCCUUUGCAGCAACUGGAGUGCUAACGGAUGCCUUAAAAUGGAUUUUGACAUGCUGAG